UCAGCAGUCAAGAAUAUUAGUCAAUGCUCGAAAGAGUGAACUAGCUAACUGAAAUCAAUAAAAAUAAUUGAUAACAUAAGGGAAAAUAAUGAUAUUACCUUAUUAUAAGUGUCGUCCAAAACUGGUGCCAGAAGACUCGGUAAGGCCAGAGACACAAACGUUAAUCGUCUUAAUCAGGCGUAAAGGGUUUGUAGGCGGCUUUAAAAUUUAACUUAUAAAAAUAAAAUAAUAAGUAAAAAAUAAAAGCUAGAAUCAAAUAGAGGAUAUAUGAAAGAAUGCUUAGAGUAGGUCUGAUAUCCUUAGAUACUAAGUAGAAUAUUAAAGGCGAAAGCUUUUUUCCAUUAAUGAUUGACGCUCAGAAACGAAGGUGAGGAUAGGAAAUAGGAUUAGAUACCCAGAAUACCCCUCUCUGUCAACGAUGAAUGGUAGUUAUUAGUAAAAAUAUAUUAAUGGCAAUGUUAACACGAUAACCAUUCCGCCUUGUGAGUACAACUGCAAAGUUGAAAACAAAAAAAUUAGUCGGUUUCGGAGCAAACGAAGUGAAGCAUGUUAUUUAAUUCGAUAAUCCGC
rnacentral:rRNA from 1 species